UUAGAAGGGCCCAGGCCCCGCUUUCACUAACGUUCUCAAAGUGAGAAAAUUCUCAGCUCAAGAUUGUCUCAGAAUUGUCUGAGAAUUGUCUCAGCUGAGAAAUUUCUCAAGUUGGCUUUCUCUAAACUUUUUCUCAAGUCUUGAGAUUUUUCUCAGCUGAGCCGUAAUUUUUUUAAGACAUAAGCGGCCAAACAUCCAAGGAGCCGCGUGAACUUUCCCACGAACACGAGUGCAUAGUUGGGGGCAGUGGAUUUAUUCAUUUAUUGAGACGAAAUGAAGCGUUGAGAAAUGUUCAUAAACAACAUGUACAGUUUCGGGAUAUAUCCAGAUUGUAUGUUUGUACACUGUUGUACAAAGGUAUGGCAGUGUAUUUUCAAUAUUAUAAUUAAUCAGCUUCAAACCUGUCAUUUUUGAACCAAUCAAACACACAGUCGAGGGUACUACGUCAUAUUGCAUGUGUUUUCUUUACCAAAUAUGGGAUUACGUAAACACAACCAUAUGUUGUUACACUACGUGUGACAAUUUUAUGUUAUCGGGCAUAUAUUUAUUGGAAUCAGAUAUGCAGCCGUCACAGCCAGCUGAUGAAGAUCCUCAGCUUAUACAGAGGUCAGGCUUGAGCUAUGUGCUGAUUCAAAAGAUGCUAAUGACAGUGGAUAAUCCAUUCUGAGCUGUUCUAGGACCAUUCACAAAGGUUCCAAAACACUGAUGGAUCUGAAGGCAGUACCUGUAUUGGUGUCUGGUCUGUGAUUUCAAGUAUAAUUGAUGUACCUCCUCCUGAUGUAUCUCCUCGAAUACAAUAUAUCUGCCAUGUGAAAGGAACAAGCUGCAAGAUAUACUGUGGAAGUGGGGGCCUAUGUAAAAAACAUUUUAUUUAAAGAAUAUAAAAAAUCUGACACUAAACUACUGAAAAGGUGCACAGGGGACAUUUUUGUGUGUAUAGACUUUCAUCAAGAUUCUGAGAAAGUUGAUUUAUCAAACAAAAAUAGUCAGAUUGUGUCUUCAAAGCUGAAAAGAUUAAGAUCUUAGGAAAACAUUAGGACUCAAGAAAAGUAAUGGGGUUAUGAAACUGUAGUGUUUAACAUUUAAAUUGUUUUUUGUUUUUUAUUCACUACAUUUUGUGAAGAGGGUUCCAUCACAAGAUGCGACAUAUUGCCUGAUAUUGGUAAGAAUGAGAUGUAGUUUAUGAAAAAAAAGUAUUUUGCUUUAAAUGUGCAGACUUUAAGUUACAUAAAAAAUCAAAGCUCUAACAAUAAAGCUUGAUUAAAAAGACACACUGUUGAAAACUAGCCUUCAUGUAAAUGUCACACUUUUUUGGGUGCACAGGGGACACAAUUAGCUAUAUAAUUUAAUAUAACUUUAACCCUUAGGCCCUUGCUAAAUUUCUAUAAUGAACUUGUACGUUUUACAAUUUGGACAGUAUUAUUAAGUGUUUAAAGGGGUGCUAACCAAAAGAUACUGACUGAAUGGCGAACAGUGCAGAUAAAGAUCAGACUGCACAGAUGUGCAGGCUUAUCAUGAUCUACACUUGUUGCAAAGGUAGGACCAACCAUGUACAGCAUGAUAAGGGUUAAAACUGCUUGAGCCAUUCAGCUGAAAUUGCAAACAUUUGUUGACUACAUUGAUUGGAUAUAUGUAAUUUCCCCAAAACACUUUAUAAAACUGAACUGAAUUAAAAUAAGGUGAGAGAGAAGAAAAAGCUUAAUUAUUUAAAAAAAAAAAACUAUAGCCGAUAGAUAUAUAUUGUUGAAGGCAUUAUCUUUGUUUACAUUAAAUUUAAAUGUGGCUGCCACGUUGUUUGUUAGGAACAUGAGACACAUUAAUUUUUUGUUUUCGAAUUUUAAUUAUCGCAUUUAUGUGUCAAAGAUUGGCAUGGGUGAAAAUGUUACUGAAAAUAUUAAAUCAGUUUUUAUUGAUUAACUCCCUUUUUGGCUUGUGCAGUAUAAAGUCAUGUGCAUCAUUGAAAGUAUAUGUAGUACUUUUCUAACCAACUGAUAAACAUUCUAUUUUUGGAAAGUUUGCUGCAUAAAGUUAAAGGUUUUUUUUGUAUGAAAUUUAUAUGGUGUAGGCCUUAAAGCUGUUUACUUUAAAAACCUCCUUGUAUCAUUUCUAAUGUUUUCUCUUUUAAUUGACCCUGAGUGGCAGUUCUUGUUAACUACAAAACCAUCUACUAUUAUUGGUUAACUAAUUAUUGGAAUAGUGAUCAUUUUAACAUUGUUUCAUCACAUUGCACUCCUUUAUGGGAAUAGGUAGGCAAUAGCACAUUUAACUAUUAAACUAAUUAUUAAACUAUGUCAUUUGAAUGAAAACAGCCUUAGACACACCUGAAAAUCAGAUAAAUUUGAAAAUACAUGCAAAUUUUUAAAAAUGUUUUUGGAUUUAAGUUAUAACAUUUUCUUAUUUUUAUCUUCAGUUGGUUAUUAAUGCAACUGAUUGUUUUUAUCAACAUCUGUUGUCAGGUGUGUUUCGUCCCAAUUUAAUUUUGUGACCCAUACAGUGUUUCCAGGACUCAUCAGUAAGAGAAACACCAUCAACUUGAGUCAACAACAUAACUUUUAACAUGUGAACAGAAGUUAAUUAUAAACAUUUUCAUAGGAAGAAUAGUGAACUGGAACAGUAAAUGAAAAUUUAAAAGAAAUGAAAAUGAUAACCUGUACACUUUGGCAUUUCAUAGUUCUUUUUAAAAAAUCAAAUUUAUCUGAGAAGACAAUGACAGUGAAAUAUAAAAUUUUACUUAAAAUUAUUGUUGUAAAUCAUACUGAAAUCUAACAACUUACUGGUAAUAUAAAUUUUAACAAUAGCAUAGAGUAAAGAUUUUCUGAUAUUUUUGGAAAGAUUUGAAAAACAUUGUACUUUAAAUGUUCAACCAAUAUUUUAGAUCAAAUUAUGAAAUGCCAUAUUUAUUUAUAAAUGAAUAAAACUGUUGUCAACUUAUAAAAAUUUCUAUUA